UACGUAGGGCGCGAGCGUUGUCCGGAAUUACUGGGCGUAAAGGGCUCGUAGGUGGCCAACUAAGUCAGACGUGAAAUCCCUCAGCUUAACUGGGGAACUGCGUCUGAUACUGGAUGGCUUGAGUUUGGGAGAGGGAUGCGGAAUUCCAGGUGUAGCGGUGAAAUGCGUAGAUAUCUGGAGGAACACCGGUGGCGAAGGCGGCAUCCUGGACCAAUACUGACACUGAGGAGCGAAAGCCAGGGGAGCAAACAGG
rnacentral:rRNA from 1 species